UGAGGUGUAGCUCAGUGGUAAAGCACAUGGUUAGCAUGCAUGAGGCCCUGGAUUCAAUCCCAGCACCCCAA
rnacentral:tRNA from 1 species